UGGGGAAUUUUGGACAAUGGGCGAAAGCCUGAUCCAGCAAUGCCGCGUGUGUGAAGAAGGCCUUCGGGUUGUAAAGCACUUUUGUCCGGAAAGAAAUGGCUCUGGUUAAUACCUGGGGUCGAUGACGGUACCGGAAGAAUAAGGACCGGCUAACUACGUGCCAGCAGCCGCGGUAAUACGUAGGGUCCAAGCGUUAAUCGGAAUUACUGGGCGUAAAGCGUGCGCAGGCGGUUGUGCAAGACCGAUGUGAAAUCCCCGAGCUUAACUUGGGAAUUGCAUUGGUGACUGCACGGCUAGAGUGUGUCAGAGGGGGGUAGAAUUCCACGUGUAGCAGUGAAAUGCGUAGAGAUGUGGAGGAAUACCGAUGGCGAAGGCAGCCCCCUGGGAUAACACUGACGCUCAUGCACGAAAGCGUGGGGAGCAAACAGGAUUAGAUACCCUGGUAGUCCACGCCCUAAAACGAUGUCAACUAGUUGUUGGGGAUUCAUUUCCUUAGUAACGUAGCUAACGCGUGAAGUUGACCGCCUGGGGAGUACGGUCGCAAGAUUAAAACUCAAAUGAAUUGACGGGGUCAUAGCUGUUUCCUG
rnacentral:rRNA from 1 species